GACGAACGCUGGCGGCGUGCUUAACACAUGCAAGUCGAACGAAGAGCGAUGGAAGCUUGCUUCUAUCAAUCUUAGUGGCGAACGGGUGAGUAACGCGUAAUCAACCUGCCCUUCAGAGGGGGACAACAGUUGGAAACGACUGCUAAUACCGCAUACGAUCUAACCUCGGCAUCGAGGAAAGAUGAAAGGUGGCCUCUAUUUAUAAGCUAUCACUGAAGGAGGGGAUUGCGUCUGAUUAGCUAGUUGGAGGGGUAACGGCCCACCAAGGCGAUGAUCAGUAGCCGGUCUGAGAGGAUGAACGGCCACAUUGGGACUGAGACACGGCCCAGACUCCUACGGGAGGCAGCAGUGGGGAAUCUUCCGCAAUGGACGAAAGUCUGACGGAGCAACGCCGCGUGAGUGAUGACGGCCUUCGGGUUGUAAAGCUCUGUUAAUCGGGACGAAAGGCCUUCUUGCGAAUAGUGAGAAGGAUUGACGGUACCGGAAUAGAAAGCCACGGCUA
rnacentral:rRNA from 1 species